GGUGCGGGAGUUGGAAAGCGAGCUGGAUGCAGAGCAGAAGAGAGGAGCUGAAGCUCUGAAGGGGGCCCACAAAUAUGAGCGCAAAGUCAAAGAGAUGACUUACCAGGCCGAGGAGGACCGCAAGAACAUCCUCCGACUCCAGGACCUGGUAGACAAGCUGCAGGCCAAAGUGAAGUCCUACAAGAGGCAGGCAGAAGAGGCUGAGGAGCAAGCCAACACACAGCUAUCCAGGUGCCGGAGGGUCCAGCAUGAACUAGAGGAGGCUGAGGAGAGGGCAGAUAUCGCUGAGUCUCAAGUCAACAAGCUAAGGGCCAAGAGCCGUGAUGUGGGAGGCCAGAAGAUGGAAGAAUGAGGCUCUCCCGAGGCUCGUUGCCAUGGGCCACCUCCAGGAGAGCAGAGGGAGACUGGGAAAAAUAAACCCUCCUGCAUACUCAACAUCC
rnacentral:lncRNA from 1 species